UCGCCCGCCGCGCCCCGCGCCCCGUCUCGCCCGCCGCGCCCCGCGCCCGUCCCGACGCCCCCGGCCUCCUACGGGAGGCAGCAGUGGGGAAUAUUGCACAAUGGGGGGAACCAUGAUGCAGCAACGCCGCGUGGGGGAUGACACAUUUCGGUGCGUAAACUCCUUUCAUAUAGGAAGAUAAUG
rnacentral:rRNA from 1 species